AGAGUUUGAUCCUGGCUCAGGAUGAACGCUAGCGGCAGGCCUAACACAUGCAAGUCGAGGGGCAGCACGGGUAGCAAUAUCUGGUGGCGACCGGCGCACGGGUGAGUAACGCGUAUGCAACCUACCUAUAACAAGGGGAUAGCUUCCGGAAACGGGAAUUAAUACCCUAUAGUACCUAAGUAUCGCAUGAUAUUAAGGUUAAAACUACGGUGGUUAUGGAUGGGCAUGCGUGCCAUUAGUUAGUUGGUGGGGUAACGGCCCACCAAGACAGUGAUGGCUAGGGGGUCUAAAAGGAUGAUCCCCCACACUGGUACUGAGACACGGACCAGACUCCUACGGGAGGCAGCAGUGAGGAAUAUUGGUCAAUGGGCGAGAGCCUGAACCAGCCAUGCCGCGUGCAGGAAGACGGCCCUAUGGGUUGUAAACUGCUUUUUUAUGGGAAGAAAAGGCCUUACGUGUAGGGCACUGACGGUACCAUAUGAAUAAGCAUCGGCUAACUCCGUGCCAGCAGCCGCGGUAAUACGGAGGAUGCGAGCGUUAUCCGGAUUUAUUAGGUUUAAAGGGUGUGUAGGCGGAAGACUAAGUCAGUGGUGAAAUCUCACAGCUCAACUGUGAAACUGCCAUAGAUACUGGUUUUCUUGAGUACAGUUGAAGUAGGCGGAAUGUGUAAUGUAGCGGUGAAAUGCUUAGAUAUUACACAGAACACCGAUUGCGAAGGCAGCUUGCUAAGCUGUUACUGACGCUGAUGCACGAAAGCGUGGGGAGCGAACAGGAUUAGAUACCCUGGUAGUCCACGCCGUAAACGAUGAUUACUCGUUGUUGGCGAUAUAUUGUCAGCGACUGAGCGAAAGCAUUAAGUAAUCCACCUGGGGAGUACGGCGGCAACGCUGAAACUCAAAGGAAUUGACGG
rnacentral:rRNA from 1 species